GAUAUGGAACACUCUCUUCCCAUGACAUUGGCUUUGAUGGCCUGAAUGGGGCACAUGGGCUGAAGAUAUGGAACACUUGCAGGGUUGAAAGUGGGAUUUUCAUGGUUCUUAAGGUCUGCUGUAAAUGAUGAGGAUGAGAUGAGUGGCCUUCCAAAUAUUCAAAAAAAUUCAUCAAGGUUGUCAACUAUUGGCCAGAAAAGGGAAUAUCUGGAUUUAUAGUAUAUAAAUUUCGACUUAGGAGACUUGAAGGGCAGUCUACAUUAACCACUAAUCAGGGUGAUUUUGCAAUCCAAGCAGUGGGGCUUUAAAGGAUCUUAGCUUAUUUUGUUGUGAUGACAAGUUUAUUUCACUCAUGGUCGCAUACCUCAGUCACCUGCAGAAAUACGAGGGUUGGUAUGCGAGGAUAUCACUGGAGGUCUGGAACAUCCACCCAUUCCUGCUACGAAUUUGGUUGAUGACCCCCCUGUUCCACCCACAGGCAAGUUGAAUUAUGGGUUUACAAUUUGAAUCUCCUGUUUUAUUGGUGAGAGUGUAUCCUCUCGUGUAAAUUUCACAUGAUAGUCAUUUGAGGAGGAUAUCUUGACACCAGAAGAUCAGUCACUGCUUUUUUCAUUUUUCUUAGAGAUUCCUUAAUAUCGUGGAAGGUUAAAAAGCAAACAACAGUCUCUAGAAGCUUCGUUGAAGACGAGUACAGGGCAAUGGCAACCACUGAUACUAAAUUAAGUUGAAUAUCUCAAUUAUUAACUGAUCUUGGCUUUGUUGAUUUCUCUUGUGCUCUAUUUUUUGUGACAAUCAGGAUGCUAUUCAUAUUGCCUCAAAUCCCACCUUCCAU